UACAGAGGUCUCAAGCGUUGUUCGGAUUCAUUGGGCGUAAAGGGUGUGUAGGUGGCGCCGUAAGUCGGGUGUGAAAUUUCGGAGCUUAACUCCGAAACUGCAUUCGAUACUGCGGUGCUUGAGGACUGGAGAGGAGACUGGAAUUCAUGGUGUAGCAGUGAAAUGCGUAGAGAUCAUGAGGAAGACCAGUGGCGAAGGCGGGUCUCUGGACAGUUCCUGACACUGAGACACGAAGGCCAGGGGAGCAAACGUG
rnacentral:rRNA from 1 species